rnacentral:misc_RNA from 1 species
CAGAAUUUCAUCCUUAAUCUACUACAAGAUUGAUAAAUGAUACAAAUUUGGUGAAGAUUUAAGAACUAAAGAGAAACACAAGGUUAGAGAUUUAACUUCAUAGUAUUUGAGUCAUCUUGGGGACUGAAAGCUCUCCAAUUAGAGUUGGAGGCGAAUUAAAGGAAGAAAAAAAGCAGCACAAGGUAAGCUAUCCUACAAAUGGAGCAUAGAGUGUGAAAAUUUGACAUCAAAUACCACAAUCCGAGACCGUCUAGACAAUGAUGACCAAGAGAAAUUCAACAGUGAAAUAAAAUAGCAAACCACAAGUGAAACAUUACAUGCACCAUUUCAUUUAGCCUAACAAGCACUACCUUUUAGGGUAUAGAAAGCUAAUAAUUUGGAAAGAUGUCAGAUCAUGUGUUAUUCAACCUUUGACAUCUUGAUGUAAGAUGAGCAAUGGGGUAGAAGACUCGUGCAUGGCAUCCAAAGCUUAAUGUAAUACCUUCCACAUGCAGGAAUCUCUAUCUCAGAUUUUAUCGAGCUUUUCAGCCUUGACAAUGGGGUUGGCCUUGGCAAUAGCAUCUCGAGAAGCAGUUUGAUAAUCAUAGGUGCAACCAUGCUUGUCUGAGUAGCGAUGAAUUGAACAGAAAAUAUUUCCACAUCGACAAUUGAAGCCAGUUAAACCAACACGUUUCCUGCAAGUGCUGCACCUAUUUGGACCUGUUUUCACCAUUGUAUCACCAUCAGUAUUCAGAGCUGAGUUCGAGGAUGACAGUCUAAAGGUGACCGGAGUCUCUGCUGAACUAGGUUGCAGAUCCAUAGCACCAACAGUCGUGUUGCUAGAGCUUCCAUUCUCAGCAAACCUAGGGUAUGAUGAAGCAAGUUUAGAGUGUUCUUGCUUCAGUAUGAAGUCUUUGUGGCACUUAGAACACAUGUUCAUUGUUGCUGCACUACCAAAGAAUCCACAACCAUUGACACAAAGCUUGGGAGCCUCAGGAGGAACUUGGCAUCCUGUCUCAUUGUGCUCCAUCACGUAAAAAAGACAACUUUCCUGUUUGCAGGGAAUAUAGUCUUUUAAAACCCGCAACCUCUGGUGAAUCCAAGGUCCUAAAAAAUCCGCCAAUCAGAGAUUAGUCUUGAACUCCCCUGAAAAAAACCCAACAAGGCAAAAUCAUUAAAUGAUACACUAGAAUUGAACCCGUCUCAAAUAUCAGAGGAAAAAACCAUCUAUACAAACAUGGAAGAAAAGAAAACAGAAAGGGAGAGAGAGACCUAUGGAGUAAGCAAGAAGUGAGGGGAGUGGCAGAGAGGAGAACGACAGAGGGCAUCGAGAUGGGUGGGGGUAUCACUCCGGGUGAUGACGGAUUGAUCCG